rnacentral:rRNA from 1 species
GAGCGCUCGUAGCAAUACGGGAGCGGCAGACGGGAGAGUAACACGUGGGAACGUACCCUUCGGUUCGGAAUAACCCAGGGAAACUUGGGCUAAUACCGGAUACGUCCGUAAGGAGAAAGAUUUAUCGCUCGAAGAGGGGCCCGCGUGGGAUUAGCUAGUUGGUGAGGUAACGGCUCACCAAGGCGAUGAUCCCUAGCUGGUCUGAGAGGAUGAUCAGCCACACUGGGACUGAGACACGGCCCAGACUCCUACGGGAGGCAGCAGUGGGGAAUAUUGGACAAUGGGGGCAACCCUGAUCCAGCAAUGCCGCGUGAGUGAUGAAGGCCUUAGGGUUGUAAAGCUCUUUCGCCCGCGACGAUGAUGACGGUAGCGGGAGAAGAAGCCCCGGCUAACUUCGUG